GGUAUUUUGUUUUAAUCCUUGUAAAAUCAUUUCAUAUUGAAAUUGGUCCCUAUAAUAUUCAUUUUAGUCCUCAUUUUGAGGGACUAAAAUCAAAUAUUCUACAUAUUACAAGGACCAAAUCCAAUAUGAAUCAAUUUUACAAGGACUAAAACAAAAUACN
rnacentral:pre_miRNA from 1 species